AGUGAACGCUGGCGGCGUGCCUAAUACAUGCAAGUCGAACGAGUGGCGCACGGGUGAGUAAUAUAUAUUAAUCUGCCCUUCACAGAGGAACAACAGUUGGAAACGACUGCUAAUACCUCAUAGUGUAGGAUGAGACUAUAUCGUAUCAGCUAGUUGGUAAGGUAAUGGCUUACCAAGGCUAUGACGCGUAACUGGUCUGAGAGGAUGAUCAGUCACAUUGGAACUGAGACACGGUCCAAACUCCUACGGGAGGCAGCAGUAAGGAAUAUUGCGCAAUGGGGGAGAGCCUGAUGCAGCCAUGCCGCGUGUGUGAAGAAGGUCUUCGGAUUGUAAAGCACUUUAAGUUGGGAGGCGGUACCAACAGAAUAAGCACCGGCUAACUUCGUGCCAGCAGCCGCGGUAAUAC
rnacentral:rRNA from 1 species